rnacentral:rRNA from 1 species
GAUGAACGCUGGCGGCGUGCCUAAUACAUGCAAGUCGAGCGAACAGAUGAGGAGCUUGCUCCUCUGACGUUAGCGGCGGACGGGUGAGUAACACGUGGAUAACCUACCUAUAAGACUGGGAUAACUUCGGGAAACCGGAGCUAAUACCGGAUAAUAUAUUGAACCGCAUGGUUCAAUAGUGAAAGACGGUUUUGCUGUCACUUAUAGAUGGAUCCGCGCCGCAUUAGCUAGUUGGUAAGGUAACGGCUUACCAAGGCAACGAUGCGUAGCCGACCUGAGAGGGUGAUCGCCCACACUGGAACGGAGACACGGUCCAGACUCCUACGGGAGGCAGAAGUAGGGAAUCUUCCGCAAUGGGCGAAAGCCUGACGGAGCAACGCGGCGUGAGUGAUGAAGGUCUUCGGAUCGUAAAACUCUGUUAUUAGGGAAGAACAAAUGUGUAAGUAACUAUGCACGUCUUGACGGUACCUAAUCAGAAAGCCACGGCUAACUACGUG